rnacentral:rRNA from 1 species
UGGGGAAUAUUGGACAAUGGGCGAAAGCCUGAUCCAGCCAUGCCGCGUGUGUGAAGAAGGUCUUCGGAUUGUAAAGCACUUUAAGUUGGGAGGAAGGGCAGUAAGCGAAUACCUUGCUGUUUUGACGUUACCGACAGAAUAAGCACCGGCUAACUCUGUGCCAGCAGCCGCGGUAAUACAGAGGGUGCAAGCGUUAAUCGGAAUUACUGGGCGUAAAGCGCGCGUAGGUGGUUCGUUAAGUUGAAUGUGAAAGCCCCGGGCUCAACCUGGGAACUGCAUCCAAAACUGGCGGGCUGGAGUAGGGCAGAGGGUGGUGGAAUUUCCUGUGUAGCGGUGAAAUGCGUAGAUAUAGGAAGGAACACCAGUGGCGAAGGCGACCACCUGGUCUCAUACUGACACUGAGGUGCGAAAGCGUGGAGAGCAAAGAGG